rnacentral:tRNA from 1 species
GGAGGGUGUAGCUCAGUGGUAGAGUGUGUGCUUAGCAUGCACAAGGUCCUGGGUUCAAUUCCCAGCACCUCCA